rnacentral:rRNA from 1 species
AGAGCGAACGCUGGCGGCAGGCCUAACACAUGCAAGUCGAACGGACCCUUCGGGGUUAGUGGCGGACGGGUGAGUAACACGUGGGAACGUGCCUUUAGGUUCGGAAUAGCUCCUGGAAACGGGUGGUAAUGCCGAAUGUGCCCUUCGGGGGAAAGAUUUAUCGCCUUUAGAGCGGCCCGCGUCUGAUUAGCUAGUUGGUGAGGUAAAGGCUCACCAAGGCUACGAUCAGUAGCUGGUCUGAGAGGACGACCAGCCACAUUGGGACUGAGACACGGCCCAAACUCCUACGGGAGGCAGCAGUGGGGAAUCUUGCGCAAUGGGCGAAAGCCUGACGCAGCCAUGCCGCGUGAAUGAUGAAGGUCUUAGGAUUGUAAAAUUCUUCAGUAGGACGAUAAUGACGGUACCUACAGAAGAAGCCCGGCUAACUUCGUGCCAGCAGCCG